rnacentral:lncRNA from 1 species
ACUUAAUGCUAGAUGACCAGUUAGUGGGUGCAGCGCACCAGCAAUGUCACAUGUAUACAUAUGUAAUUAACCUGCACAAUGUGCACAUGUACCCUAAAACUUAAAGUAUAAAAAAUAAAAAUAAAAAAAUAAAAAAAUAAAAAAAGAAUGUAAAAUAUAGACAUUUGACAUUGUUAAGUUUCUAGUCAUAAUUUUAGAAUGUACAAUUUUUCAACUAUGUGUCUUCUUAUAUUAUGGAAUUCUGUCUAUUGCUGUUGAAAUCUUAGCCUCUUAUUUAAUAUUGUUAUUAUUUUUUGUAGUGAACUACAUUUUUCUUCUUAAAACCUAGGGCUGCCAGAUAUGGUAAUAAGUCAUUCAAUAAUAAAAAUGGUAUUUUGUAAAAAAAGAGUUCUCAUUCAAAUUCUCAGAACUCAGAUAAUUUACUCUGCUUUUAUAAAAGCUCACAGUCUUAUGAUUAAAUGAAAUGAACAUAAUAAAAAUACAACAAAAACCUAAGAUAAAGAAUCUAGUUAACUUUUAGAGUUAUUAUAGAAACAUAUCAUUUUAUAUGUUCCUUUUCAAUGAAAGUAAAUUUCGUAGAAAUAUUUAAUUCAAGUCUCUCCCCAAAGCCCAACAUUUUUGUGUGCAUGAAAAUAAUGAAAAUAAUUCUGAAAACUUGUAGAUUAAUUAGGUAAAUUUCUUUUGGAAAAGUUUAUGUUGAGUUUUCCAAAAUGCUAAGCUGCUAUAGCAAGAGACCUAAUACUAAGAUAGCUUAAAAAACAAAAAAUGUUUAUUUCUCUCAUACAUAAUAGUUCCAAGGUGAGAGAUUCAGGUGGAUGGGGCAGAUCUGUCCACUUCAUCAGGGACUUGACUGACAGUAGCCCUGCCAUCUGCAUCAGGUAGUUCUGCACAGAGUUUCCCAAUUCUGGUCACUGGAAGGAAGUUAGGAGCUUUGAAGAAGGGUGAGGAGCAGAAGUCCAGAGCCAAGAAUGCCCUCUUAAGCAUGUGAUUUGAAAAUUGCUCUCAUCAGCUCUGCUCAUUGGUGUCAGUCUGGUCACAUGGCCACAUCUAUUUGCAAGAGAAGCUGAGAAAUGUAACCUAGCUCCAUGCUCAGGAAGAAAAGAAGGGAAACUGUUGGUGGACUGCUAGCCAUUUCCCCCACAGCCCCAAAAGGCUUCCCAUUGCAGUUGUAAACUAGGGUAUUUAGCCCUUUGUUCUAAAUAUUCAUAACUUUCCAAGUAAUUGCAGAGGAAAUACAAAAUAUUUCUAGAAUAAUAUUUAAGCUAUCUUUAAAAAUCGGUGUAAUCUGCAGCAUAAGAAGAUUUCAAGAUGAAAAACUCCCAUUUUAAUUGAGGUUUUGUCAAUUUAAUUAAUUCUUUCAAUAUGUUUUGUUAUUCUUGAUAUUUGUACCCCAACUCUAGUUAAUAUAUUAUUUCUCUUUAGUUUGCCCUUUUGAGAUAUAUGUAAGGCUUUUCCACCCAAGCCAAUUCUUAGCUAAAGAAUUGAAUACUUUUUAACUUCUAUAUUACAGUUGUGAUUUCAAGGUUUGUACUUCCUUAAUGUAAAUCUAGGGAAAUUGAAAAAUAAAGCACCCCACUUCCAGUUUCUACAUUUAUACCACAUCUGUUAUCUUACUUAUAGAUAUAAUAUCCAACUCCUUGAGGUUAUUAUGUUUAUAAUGAACUGGUUUAUGUUUUCAUUCCAGAUGUGUAAAUAGUAGCAUUUGAUUAGUUAAGUUUAAAAUUGAAUUUUAAAAUUGUUUAGAAGACUUGUGUUGUUUUAUUGUAUAAUCGCCUAUGAUUUCUAUAGCUUUAUUUUAAAGUUGGUGAGUAAAAAAGGUAGAUGCUAGAUAUUGAUGACCAGUAAUAAAGGUUCAUAUAUUUCAUUGUCUGGGAAUACAUUAAAAACUGAGUAAUGGGCCUUGGUAUCUAUUUUUUUAAAUUUCUACAUCGAGAUUUUUGUAUAACACACACACACGUGUAUGCAUAUGUAUAUAUUUUUCAUUUUAAUGUAUUUCAUCUAAAUGUAAAAUCUCCCCACUUGCAGAAAAGUUUUCCAUUAUUAAAAGAGCAGUCCUUUAUGUAUUGAGAUGAUGCCACUAUGCACGGUGAUUAAAAAUUUCAUUUUGACCUGUUUCUUGUUGGUGGAGACAGCUUUGUACUGAGUUCUUCUCACUCUUUCCCACAGUCCCUGGCACAGAACAGCCAUUCACCAGAUGCCAAGUUUGACUUGGGCACAGAGCAUGUGGUCAGAGGACAGGAUGUAAUUAACCCAUUCAUAUGGAACAAACCCAUGACCUAGGAGUCACACAGGGCAUGGAGCCAAACUGCUGCACACAAAAAAUCCUUCAGUAGUGUGAAUUUACACAGUGCUUCAAAUGUCUAUUUCUCUUCCUCAAAACUCUUACUAAUCUAUUAUAUCACUGUGGUCUCACAAAAGUCUUGAGAAGUAUGAAGAGAGAAGCAUGACCAGAUCUAUUUUUCUUACAUUCUCCUUCCUUCCUUCCUUCCCUCCUUCCUUCCUUCCCUCCUUCCCCCCUUCCUUCUUCCAUCUUCCUUCUAUCCAUCUUUUCAAAUUCCUCCCCUUUUUCUUAUUCACAGGUAGAGAAAUUAAGGGGGCAGAGGUGUUUGAGUAAAAUGUUAGUAAGAAUUCAGAUCUAUUAGCUGCAAACCCAGUGCAAUUGUUACCAUGUAAGGAUACAGAUGGAGACAGAGGAAAGUUUGUAUGUGUGUGUGUUUGUUGAGUGGAGGGAGUGAAGUAGUUCACAAAGACAGUCUUUCUACUUCAAGCUUUUCCUUGAUCAUCCAAACCUUUGCAUCUCGGAAGGCUCCCUAGGAGCUCUCUGGUUGCCCCCAGUGCUGCUUGGCACUGCUCCUUGAUCUGGCUUCCUCUUGACAAUUUCCACAGAUGAGAUGCUCACUAUCUCACAUGGCAGCACAUGCUAGUUGGGAUCAUUUAUGUGGUGAGAACAUAUAUUGGGUUAAAUUUUGCCUCCCUGUGACUUCCAUUCCCUAUGGGAAUACAUAAAGAAGUGGAACGUUUUCCUUGACAAGUUCUAGUCUAGAUAUCUGAUAACACCUCUUGUGACUUCCCCAAGCUUUUCCCCUCCAGGCAAGCAUCUCUGUUUCCUACAGCUUUGCCUCUUGAUGUUUAUGGUGUCUUCUUUCCCUGUCCAUCUUAAAAAGUACAGGGAACAGAGAGCCAGAUUCCAGCUCAGAGAACAGUGGGCAGGAACUCUCCCGGAGCUGAAAGGCCUGUAUAAGCAGAAAUUCCAAGAGUGGGCUCUGGGGACAGGCACUGCCGUCGUCAUCCUGACUCUGCCUCGGGAGAAGUUACCUACGCUUUCUCUACUUCAGUUUAUUAAUCUAUAAAACAAUGAUAACAGGAAUAAAUAAAAUCAUGCUCAUGAGUAAUUUAGAAAAGUGCCUGACACACAAGUCCAUGUGUUAGUUGCCAUUGCAUUUAUAUUUUUGGCAGCCAUGCUACACUGGUAGUUCAUUCAGAACUUUUAGUCAUAUAUGACCAGGGCCAGAACUACUAAAAACCAACGUCCCUUCUCUCUUAUAUACGUAUGUGCAGUGUGUAUGUUUUAUGUAUUAGAACCUAAAUGAUGGGACUCUAUCCCUGUUUAAAUUCAUCUGAUUUAUUUUAGCAUAUCCUCCAUCCUAUUAAGUUCCUUGAAUCUUGAUGAUGUCGUCCAACAUAGCAAGUAUCCCUUACAGUCUUUUUUUGUUCUUUAAAGGUUUGAUAGGUACAUCUUUUAUGACUUCAACCUAACCACAGAGAAAAUAAAAAGCCAAACAAGACUGGAACAAUUACAGAGCACUUUUGGUUUACAUUAUCAUCCUGCCUGAAUUUAUUUAUCUAGUCCAUAAUAGUACAAGCUAUUGAAUUUUGUGUUUGAAAUUAAGAUAUCCACUUUGCAAAGAUUCUGUAUUGACAACACUGAUUAUCCACAUAUUAACACAAAGAAAGGAGACUGGUUUGGCAUGACUUAUUUAUAAAGCAAAUUUUUGGUUUGCUCCUUCUUUCCUCCAUUCUCUUAGUUAUUAAUGAAUCAGAGGAAUAUGUGUGGCAUUGGCUAUAAUAUGCACAGUUACCACCAUGAUUUUGCUUGCAAACCUGACCAGAACUUACUUAUAAUUUCACUAUCUGAGGACCAAGUGAAAAUGUGUUUCUAGCUUAGCAGAAACUAAUCCACCGAUGGGUUUUACUUUAUAUGUAUAAACCAUAAAAAUACCCUUUUUGGUCCAAAAAGUCAAAAGAAAAUUACUUAUCACAGCAAUGUCACAGAAAAUUACUUAUUUCACAUUACAAAUAAGCAACCCCUCAACAAAUAAGCAAAAAAUAAAAGAAAUCCAACUAGAAGAGUAAGUCCAGAGACUCUUAGUUAUUUGCUUGGGGUAAUCCAGGAAGUGGAUAACAGAACCAGUAAAAAUCAGACUUACUCUCUGCCCAGUAUUUUUCCCUAUCCAAUGCUGUGUUGCUUUCCGCCCUUAUGCCUCUCAUGGGAGCACCGUAUCAGGUGAGAUUUUGACCACAGGCUUCACGGAGGUUCAUGUGAGGCUUCAUAUCUUUGACGUAAUCAACCUCUGA